CCUACGGGGAGCAGCAGUGGGGAAUAUUGGGCAAUGGGCGCAAGCCUGAUCCAGCAACGCCGCGUGAAGGAAGAAGGCUUUCGGGUCGUAAACUUCUUUUGACAGGGAAGAGAAUAAGACGGUACCUCUCGAAUCAGCCACGGCUAACUACGGUCCAGCAGCCGCGGUAAUACGUAGGUGGCAAGCGUUGUCCGGAUUUACUGGGUGUAAAGGGCGUGUAGCCGGGUUGACAAGUCAGAUGUGAAAUCCUGCGGCUUAACCGCAGAACUGCAUUUGAAACUGUGGAUCUUGAGUGCUGGAGAGGCAGGCGGAAUUCCUAGUGUAGCGGUGAAAUGCGUAGAUAUUAGGAGGAACACCAGUGGCGAAGGCGGUCUGCUGGACAGUAACUGACGGUGAGGCGCGAAAGCGUGGGGAGCAAACAGGAUUAGAUACCCGAGUAGUC
rnacentral:rRNA from 1 species